rnacentral:rRNA from 1 species
AGACCCGAAACCCGGUGAUCUAGCCAUGGGCAGGUUGAAGGUUGGGUAACACUAACUGGAGGACCGAACCGACUAAUGUUGAAAAAUUAGCGGAUGACCUGUGGCUGGGGGUGAAAGGCCAAUCAAACCGGGAGAUAGCUGGUUCUCCCCGAAAGCUAUUUAGGUAGCGCCUCGUGAAUUCAUCUCCGGGGGUAGAGCACUGUUUCGGCUAGGGGGCCAUCCCGGCUUACCAACCCGAUGCAAACUGCGAAUACCGGAGAAUGUUAUCACGGGAGACACACGGCGGGUGCUAACGUCCGUCGUGAAGAGGGAAACAACCCAGACCGCCAGCUAAGGUCCCAAAGUCAUGGUUAAGUGGGAAACGAUGUGGGAAGGCCCAGACAGCCAGGAUGUUGGCUUAGAAGCAGCCAUCAUUUAAAGAAAGCGUAAUAGCUCACUGGUCGAGUCGGCCUGCGCGGAAGAUGUAACGGGGCUAAACCAUGCACCGAAGCUGCGGCAGCGAACGUAUCACCCAAGACAACUUUACGGAGUUGACGAUUGACGGAGCGAAGCGACGUCAAAGCGUUCAUUAAAGUCGAGUUGGCUUAGGGAUACGUUCGUUGGGUAGGGGAGCGUUCUGUAAGCCUGUGAAGGUGUGUCGUGAGGCAUGCUGGAGGUAUCAGAAGUGCGAAUGCUGACAUAAGUAACGAUAAAGCGGGUGAAAAGCCCGCUCGCCGGAAGACCAAGGGUUCCUGUCCAACGUUAAUCGGGGCAGGGUGAGUCGACCCCUAAGGCGAGGCCGAAAGGCGUAGUCGAUGGGAAACGGGUUAAUAUUCCCGUACUUGGUGUUACUGCGAAGGGGGGACGGAGAAGGCUAUGUUGGCCGGGCGACGGUUGUCCCGGUUUAAGCGUGUAGGUGUGUGUUCCAGGUAAAUCCGGUUCACUUUAACACUGAGGCGUGAUGACGAGGCACUACGGUGCUGAAGCAACAAAUGCCCUGCUUCCAGGAAAAGCCUCUAAGCAUCAGGUAAC